AUGAAGCUUAAGGAGGUUCUCGGCAAGAUUAUAAAAAGAAAACUUGGAAUGAGCCUACCGUUGGUAAUGAUUGGCUCUAUGCUUGUUUCUGAGGAUGUUGAUGGGUUAGAGGAAGACGAGGCUACCAACUAUGCUUUAAACCUUGAGAAGCCUUUAUAG
rnacentral:rRNA from 1 species